ACAACGAUCACGUUGCGGCGUAUCUGGCUUGUUCUCACUGUUAGGGUGGAAGCAACGGUUUCUCAGGAUUUCGCUACAAGGAUCGUCUCAGCCUUCUUGGACUGCCGUGCGGAACACCACACACCCAGCAGCUAAAAUAAUGACAUUGAGAUCCGGGUGCCAGCAGGACAAGCUCCAUGAGGGCCCCCCUCUGGGUUGCAGGCAGCUGCCUUCCCAGGGCGUCCUCCCCCGGCAGACCUGUCCCUACUCGGCACGGCCCCCGUGUGCUUCCGGUAUCUCUGCGGGAGGAGGAGCGCCAAGCAGCCGGGAGCUACCUGUGGGGAAGGGAUGGCCCCCGUGCUGGGCUCACCCAUCUGACAUCAACAUGAAGGUAGGAGCCUGAUGGUGUCUCCGACGUGUCCUGCUGGCAUUGGGCAAUCCUGUUUGAAGAUUCCGGAUCUAGACACUGGGGUGUGGGACGGCUUCAGACAGGUAGAGGUAUGCGUGGAAAAUUCAGUUCUCAGCAGCUUCUAAUCAGGAUGGAGGUUUGUUUUGACUUCUUAUGGGAAUCGCGUGAUGGAGGCUGUGUCUGUCGCCCACACACGCCCAGGGAGGUUCACACCUGAGCAACUUGUAUCCACAGAAAACAUCGCUCAGCCCCAUCCGUGGGAAGACUAAGUUGAUUUUCCAUUCUCCCAUAGAAAACGUUACCA
rnacentral:lncRNA from 10 species